AAGUGCUUGAGAUGAGUCCUUAUUCCACUUCACCUGUUGUCUCGAUCAAGCUGUAUGUCUCCAUCCCAAAUGAAUUAGAAAUGUAGACACUAUCUAAUUAAAUCAUUUAACUAUCACUUUAGCUGCAGUAAGCAAACUCUGGGCUGGGCAGACAUCUUUGAGUCUCUUUGUGACUUGGCUUAGUUUGCCCAAGAACCUAGGGCCAGUCAUUCUGUCAGUUUGGGCUGUUUCAGGAUGCGAUGUGGACAAUGACAGUCUGUACUAAGAGCAUCAUGCAAAUCGCUGUGUUUGGUAGUAAAGCUCAAAUCAUUGGCUUUGGCUGACACUUCAUCCUGGAAAAUAUCACCACCACCACAAGUCGGGUCAGCCAGCUCCAACCAAUCAAGGGCUGAGCUGGGCUGACCUGGGCAUGGCUGGGCAUGCCUCAGCUGGGCUGGGCAUGGCUGAGCAUGGCUGGGUUGGGCAUGGCUGAGCCCAACCUGAACAGGUAUGGUAGCCUAGCGGUUAAGAGUGUUGGGCAAGGAGCCGAGAGGUCGCUGGUUCUUGUCCCCGAGCCGACUAGGUGACCAAUCUGUCUGUGCCCUUGAACGAGGCUCUUAACCCUAAUUGCUCCUGUAAGUCACUCUGGAUAAGAGCUAAAUGACUAAAAUGGAAGUCAGGUCACUUUUCCAACAGAAGCUGUCACCCUAUUCACGCCGUCACAGCCACGGCGUUAACAACAGUAGAACUACCCAUCAGAUGCUAAUCGCCCUGUUGUGUUUGUGUUGAUUUUAUUCCUCCCUGGCUGGUGGGGUCGCAGGCUGUUUAGCUCUGGGAAAGCUACAUGUCAUUAGCUCAGCUAACCCUGCCGCCACCUCUCCUAUUGCACUGAGCUGGGAAUGGCUGCUGUGUAAGUAGCUGGCUGUGACUGUCUAGGUGCUUUUCUGAAGUCUGGCAAAUAAAGGCACCAGGGUUUUCCCUUUGUAGUGUGUGUGCAAAUACAACCUGCACUGCAACCCACAGUAUUGACUCCGUUUAUAUGAUUGUACUACAGUCACUUAGUAAACAGUAAACGUGUGUUGCAUUACAUAUUUCAGACAGUGGUUGUGUUUCUUUCUUUGAUUUAAGUGCCUUGUUCGAUGGUACAUCGGCAGAUUUUUCACCUAGUCAGCUCUGGGAUUCGAAUCAGCCACCGUACGGUUAUUGGCCCAACGGUCUUAACCGCUUAAACACACACACACACACACGCGCACACACACGCACACGCACACGCACACACUGCAUGUCUGUCUGUCUGUCCGGAUGCCUACGUGUCUGUCUGGUUGGUUGGCUGACUGGCUGGCUGGCUUUCCAUGUAUCUAUCGAUGUGUCUUGUUGGACAGAUAGACUGCCUAGAACCAUCUGUCUCUCUAGAACCAUCUGUAUGUCUAGAACAGUGUGACCCUAAUGAUAGCUGGAAGAUGGAGAGGACAGUUCCAAGCCAUAGCCAGACUCCAUACAGGGAGGACAACCUUCCUUUUCUAAGGGGGACGCUAUUAGAUUUGCUCCUGAUGAACUGAGAACAGGUUAGCUGCAUGGACAACAUAUAUCUAUGCUACAGUAGUCCUAUGGGAACUGGUCUUGUGUUUGCGUUGUGUCUGUCUGGGGUGUGUCUGUCUGGUGUGUGUCUGUCUCUAAGAAUGGUUUAGUACACGGUCUGGGAGGAGUUAAUUAUGUUUUCAGUUGGUUUUACAAACUGUUUGACAGAAACACCAGAGGACAACUAGGCAUGCCCAAUUCAUAACAAUACUCACAUUACUCUUUGUGAAAAAACAAGUAUUUUACAGCCAAAAUAGAAUCUAGAAAUUCAAACACAGUAUUAUUUUACAGUUGGUUCUGCAGAAAAAUGUUGGUGCCUUAUGUGAAUCAGGUACCAGACACAGGUAGCUAAGGAGUUGCUGGAUUAGCAAGUUUCAUUACAUUUUUACUACAUGUUCUCUCUGGUUUUAAAGAUGCACUCUCAAAUGUUUUAUAACUUCAGUAGUUUUGAAGGUGGUGCUCACGAGCCAACACGGGUCAUUCCAAUUGUGUACUGCAUCAUCCAAUUGUGUACUACGUCAUCCAAUUGUGUAUUACAUCAUCCAAUGUUGUACUACAUCUUCCAAUUGUGUACUACAUCUUCCAAUUGUGUACUACAUCUUCCAAUUGUGUACUACAUCUUCCAAUUGUGUACUACAUCUUCCAAUUGUGUACUACAUCAUCCAAUUGUGUACUACAUCAUCCAAUUGUGUACUACAUCAUCCAAUUUUGUACUACAUCAUCCAAUUGUGUACUACAUCAUCCAAUUGUGUACUACAUCAUCCAAUUAUGUACUACAUCAUCCAAUUGUGUACUACAUCAUCCAAUUAUGUACUACAUCAUCCAAUUAUGUACUACAUCAUCCAAUUAUGUACUACAUCAUCCAAUUUUGUACUACAUCAUCCAAUUGUGUAUUACAUCAUCCAAUUUUGUACUACAUCAUCCAAUUAUGUACUACAUCAUCCAAUUUUGUACUACAUCAUCCAAUUAUGUACUACAUCAUCCAAUUUUGUGCUACAUCAUCCAUUUUGUGUGAUAUGUUAAGAAUUGUGUGGCGUGUUAUUAACCCAAUUCAUGCAAUAUGUUACACAUUUCUUCUUUAAGUUUGUUAGUUUGACAAGCGCAGCUCAUGAUUAACCUGUCAAUAGUAACGUUGCUCAAUCACCACUGUUCCUGCUUUGGUAUUUGGGUGCUUUGGUACUGCUGUUAUUGUUGUUUUUUCAGCUUCUGGCUAAGGCAAGGUUUUGUACUACCUUCUAAAAGCAUUACCCUUAAACUGUCUUCCAAGUCUGUUCUUAUAGCUGUAGUGGCUUAUACAGUUUGGCAACAUUCACUUGUAUAUCCAUGGUGUAGAACCCAAAGUCAGAGAGUCAUAGGAAAUCUAUUUUUAAUCCAGAGUGUCCACGGGUGUCUUCUUCUUUAAAUGGUAAAGUUCAGAGUUCAAAAGUCAGGAGUUUUUUCUGUCCUCUAUUACCAGAAGUGGUUUUGGUUCAAAGAGUCAUUCCAAAAGCCUGGGAGAAUGAGAAGAACUCGCUUUAUUUAGCCAGGAAGUCACGAUGACACAGAACUCCACCAGAGAUCAGCAUGACGAGCAGUCUUCUCACACUCUGAUAUAUGACUUUGAUUAUUCAAUUUACCAGGCUUACAUUUUCAACAGUAGCAUAAUCAGAUUAGUUCAUUGGAUACGGGUCGUCAGGAUGAAAAUAGCUUUUGCUGGCAAUAUUGAAUUAAACCAUUUUCUGUUCAUAAGUUGAUAGUUUAUGUAUAAAAAAAACAGGACACUAAUCAUAGAUGCUCUGCAAAAAUGUAGUUGUUGUAUCUUAACACACCCAUGUUUCAUCAGGGUUGUGUGUGUGUGUGUGUGUGUGUGUUUUGCGGGGAAGCUCUCUUCGGUAUUAGCAGUGAAGUUAUUUCCAUGUCAUAUCCUUCACUGCCCCUCUUUCCUUAUUAAAUCAUGUGGGAAUAUGUGAAUAUGAUGUGUGUGUGUGUUGAUUGGACAGUAUUCCAGGAACGUGUGUGUGUGUUGAUUGGACAGUAUUCCAGGAACGUGUGUGUGUGUGUUGAUUGGACAGUAUUCCAGGAACGUGUGUGUGUGUGUUGAUUGGACGGUAUUCCAGGAACGUGUGUGUGUGUUGAUUGGACAGUAUUCCAGGAACGUGUGUGUGUGUUGGUUGGACGGUAUUCCAGGAACGUGUGUGUGUGUGUUGGUUGGACGGUAUUCCAGGAACGUGUGUGUGUGUUGAUUGGAAGGUAUUCCAGGAACGUGUGUGUGUGUUGAUUGGACAGUAUUCCAGGAAUGUGUGUGUGUGUGUUGAUUGGACAGUAUUCCAGGAACGUGUGUGUGUUGAUUGGACGGUAUUCCAGGAACGUGUGUGUGUGUUGAUUGGACGGUAUUCCAGGAACGUGUGUGUGUGUGUUGAUUGGACAGUAUUCCAGGAACGUAUGUGUGUGUUCAUGGGCAUAGUAAGAGAGCUAGUUUCCAUGUACAACUCGUAGUAUUGAAGGUGGUAUUCCAGGAACGUGUGUGUGUGUUGGUUGGACAGUAUUCCAGGAACGUGUGUGUGUAAUGAUUGGAUGGUAUUCCAGGAACGUGUGUGUGUGUGUUCAUGGGCAUAGUGAGAGAGCUAGUUUCCAUGUACAACUCGUAGUAUCAGCACACACACACACAUCAUAUAUGCCACUCACUUAACCUGAAACUACUGUAUGUGCGUGUGUGGAAAAAGCGAGGGUAAUUGCCAGACUAACCCUGCUGAUGGGGCCUCUCUUGGGGGGGCUAACAACCCAGAUUCUAUGUCAACGUGUGUGUGUUUGUGUGUGUCGCACGUGUCCUGCAGCUAGAUUUUAUUUUUACAAUGGCUGUGGCUUUAACCCUAACCCAAUGGCUGUGGCUUUAACCCUAACCCAAUGGCUGUGGCUUUAAC
ensembl:lncRNA